UACUACAAAAAUCUAUCGUUAAGAGUUGAGGAAAUCUAUCCUGAAAGAGCUUAAGAUAUUUGGAAAGCAGAAGCAGCUGGAUAUUGAACUGCGAAGGAGCAGCACCCCAGGCAGCCCACGCUCCGCGCCCCCGGGCGGCUCCGGCUCUCGCAGCGCUGCCGACGAAGAACCGGGGAGACCGACAGCAAGCGACCGGGGGAAAUAACUAUUCAACGUGUUACAAACAAACAUAUUCCACCUGUUACAACAAUCUGGCAUAUUACUUCCUUGAUACGUGAUGAUACAAUACCUCUCAGGUUUGCUGAGUAGCAAAGAGAAAUCUGAAGAUAUUUCACUGCAACAAGAGAAGACUGUUGCUACAGAAGAAUUUAG